rnacentral:rRNA from 1 species
GUGGGGAAUUUUGCGCAAUGGGGGAAACCCUGACGCAGCAACGCCGCGUGAGUGAUGAAGGCCUUCGGGUCGUAAAGCUCUUUUAGUGGGGAAGAAAUCCCAUGGUCACGCCAUGGGUCUGACGGUACCCACAGAAAAAGUUCCGGCUAACUACGUGCCAGCAGCCGCGGUAAUACGUAGGGAGCAAGCGUUGUUCGGAAUUAUUGGGCGUAAAGAGCGCGUAGGCGGUCAGGUAAGUCUGACGUGAAAUCCCGGAGCUUAACUCCGGAACUGCGUUGGAUACUGCCAGGCUUGAGUGUGGGAGAGGAGAGUGGAAUUCCCAGUGUAGAGGUGAAAUUCGUAGAUAUUGGGAGGAACACCGGUGGCGAAGGCGGCUCUCUGGACCACAACUGACGCUGAGGCGCGAAAGCUAGGGUAGCAAACGGGAUUAGAAACCCGAGUAGUCC